ensembl:lncRNA
UCACACAUACACAUUUCCUGUGGCAACCCACUCCAGUGUUCUUGCCUAGAGAAUCCCAGGGACAGGGGAGCCUGGUGGGCUGCCGUCUAUGGGGUCGCACAGAGUCGGACACGACUGAAGCGACUUAGCAGCAGCAGCAGCAGCAGCAGCAGCAGAGAACCCAAAUCAGCCAGGGAGUACAACCUUUCUGGGGUUGAGAGAGAACUCAAAGAGAAAGAAGGAGGAUGUGGAGGGAAGAGACACACAAUUGUAAUUGUCAGUCAGACCCAGGAUUGAUAUGAGUUUUAAGAUGAAGAAUGUGAAAGAGAGAAGUUGAGAAUUUUGUUAUUUUUGUCAGUUCCACUUUUAAAGGUUCAGAUUGGCACCGACAUAGGUGAGGGGUGGGCAACAAAUAUUAUUUGAAUUGUAAGCAUGCUGUGUCAUCUCCAUAAGCCAUUUUUUUUUCCUUUCCCUUUUUCCAGCAGAAUGCCAUCAGUUUGCAUGCUUCAAUUUAAAGUACAAGGACAUCUGGUGGGCACAACCAUCCUCUGGCUCGUAUUGGCUUCUGUGGAAAUGUGUGUUUCUCGAUUCACAUGGGCAGAUCAGUCCAAUGUCACAGAAAGAGAUGUGUUCUCUCUCCUACGGAGUUCUAUGAAGCUCUAGAUGGAGGGGUGCUUUGAAGUCAAACUGUAACCUCCCUUUCGUUGCAGUUUCCUUCCUCAUCUUCAUCCUCUGAUGGUAUCUGUCUGAUCAUAGUCUCAACACAGAGGAGAAACUCUCCAGAAAAUCACCAGCCAAAGAGGCAGUAUUCUCUCUAGACAGAACAUUUGAUAAAGAAGGAUGUCAAGUGGAUAAACACAUUUUAUUGAAUUCCUUAAAGAUUUUUAAAAAUUACUUUGGAAUAGAUCACCCUAGCCUCAUGUAUUAAAUGACUUAGAGUAUGGUAAUUUUUUUUUUUUUUUUUUGCUAUAUGCAUUUACCACACUUAUCUUUAGUAUUUUUUAUUCAAAGAUGGUUUCACAAUUUUUAAAAUAUAAAAUGUAAACUAAAAUCAUUUGAUUUGCUUAAAUAUCAUAUGUCCAUUUUUUGUCCCUAAUUUUUAAUACUCUUAUGCCUGGAUUUCUAAGUUUAUGCCUGGAUUUCUAAGUUUAUACCAGGUCUUCUCAGAAGAGCUUUAGAGUAGGCCUCUGAGUUCUUUGAUGUGAACUCUGCUUUGAGCUUGGAAAUGUUUCCUUAGUAUAUUUGCUUCUCCACUGGCUCUGUAUCAGCUUGACUCCUCCCAAGUGUAUAUUGAAGGAGUUGUGCUAACUGGCAAAUUUGUUGUUCAUCGUUAUGUCAGGGCUAGGAAAGUGGGACCCUGUGAGUUCAAGCCUUCAGGUACUCUUUCUCUGCAAGAUUCCCCUCAAGGCUUAAUACUCUCAAUUCAGAGAAUCAUAGAAUAUUAGAAUGAGGAGAGAUCUUCAAGGUCAUCUAGACCCAUGCCACUCAAGAACUAAAGCACAAGUACCACCUGGGAACUUGCUAGGAAUGAAGAAUCUCGGGAGCCACUCAGACCUACUGAAUCAGAAUCUUCAUUAGAACAACAAGAUUGCAAGAGAUGAAGUGUCCAUGUUAGUGUCUGAGAAGGGCUGCUCCAGACAGCCCCUUAUCCAGUGGAGAAAUUGUAUCUGCAGCAUUUUCCAAAUGGUGGUCCCCUCGGGCUCAGACGUCUUCACCUUCAGGCUUUGGGAUACAGAUCAGUGAUUCUAGAUCAAGAUUCCUAACUCUGACUGCAUAUUAAAAUCACCUGGUGAGUUUUUAAAAAUUCCAAUGUUGAGGUCUUACUUUGGACUAAUAAAAUCUGAACCUCUGGCA